AUGUAAAAUGAAACAACAUUCUUAGAAAUAUGGAUGGAAUAUGUGAGCAGUGUUAUUUCUUAUGUGCUAUACAAAUACUUGAAGGUUAAUUAGCAGAGUAACUGUAUAUAGUAAUGCUGCCAGUCUCCUACAGACAAAA